CAAAUGCUGAUGCCCUAGCUCCUGCUGGGGAAACUCCUGCCACCGACCCGAGGACUGGCCAUACCUGCAAAGACUAGAUGCCGACCAGAUGCUGGAAGAGCCCCUAAGCUGGCCAGUACAAACGGACCCCGAGGAGCUGCCCAGUUUACCCCUCGCUCAGUAUCCCGAGGAGCCCAUGGUGUGGGACGCUGUGGAAGACGCCGCUGAGACAGAGGCAGCCCCAGAAGUGCUGAGGAAAUAGAUGUGUCAGUCUUCUGGGAGUAAGUGGGUGCCCCUGUGAAGAAGGUGAGAGGAGCCAUAGAGAAACUCCUACCACUGCGAGAGGAGAGAAGAUAUUUCCAGCUUCCUCAGGAAGCACAGAACCUACCUUCCCCAGAGGACAUUUUAUUCAAGGUGCCACCUGUUUAUAAGCUGUGAUGAUGAAGA